rnacentral:lncRNA from 1 species
GGUCCCUAUCAGCUCUGCAACCAAGGCAAGCCCCGGAUGCAUUAACCCCUCCUUGAAUGUUUUAAAUCUUUUAUCACUUAUGAAUUGAAAAUGCUGCAUUAGGUAGUCGAGAAUUGGGUUAACCUACUUGCUGCAUUUACUACCUUGAUAUUUGUUAUCUUGUCCUUGGCACCUGUUUUAUUUUAAAACUGCGUAGUGAUGCUUAGCCCUGCUACUAGAUAGGUUUUCAAACAAGAAAGUUUGAAAGGUUGUUGUGGAAUACUCUUAUGGUCAGUGAUGUUUCAACUUGAGACCGGUCGGUGGACUUGCUUUAAGAAUGGAGUCUUAAAGUAGUGUCUCCAACUGUGUCGGUUAAGGACCGGUCCGUUGAUGGCCCGCUGGGUUGAGAAUUUAUAGUACUAGCCACUUGCCCUCGGUAAGCCCGGUCCUGUGAUCUCUCGACGCGAACAGCUACUCGCGCACUGGGCGUGGAGCGAUGGCGAGAGUAGCGUGUACCCACCUUACGGAUCUGAGAUGACCGGGAAACAUCUAGAUCGGCUGUAGGAUGGUGGGGUAUUGUGCUCUCGGGUGCCACGAACCUGGUCAAAUUUGGGGAGAGCUCGAUUUGGGUUGAUAUAUGCAAGAUUUGGUUCUACAUAUGUCGGGUGGUUAGGAACUCCAGCUGGAUUGCUAAGUGGUUCGAAUCGUCGUUGAUCCCCGAUUGGGAGACUCAAUCCACUGACCCUCAUCGUAGUUAAAUAUGCAACUAAGUGGUAAAAUGAGAAAGGGGGAAAUGUCUCAUGAGGUUCGGAUCCCAAUUCCCGAACUCAGAGUGACAUGAAGCUAUGGCCGUUGGAUAGAAAAUACUUGGAUUAAGGACUAGGAACUUACAGACUUGUCUGUGAGAAGCAACUAGAUAGAAUGUCCUCGAACUCCUCGACCUCUUAAGGAGACGAAUUCGUGGGUAAAACUUGAAAGUAAGGAUGCACUAUUAGUAAGCUUUUUGGCAAAACAAUUUGGCUCCUUGCUCAGCCACUCCUUGUCUACCCCAAGCCUGCAUUCCUAAGUUCUCCUCUUUUUCCGCCGGGUAAGUCUUGUUGAGUACUCCAGUACUCAGGGUUUUAUAACCCCUAUUGCAGGUGCUGACUUAUGCUGCUAAUGGAGGUCAUGUCGGUGGGCGCGACAUGAUUUAUCCACCUCUUCUACCUUAGAAGCUUCACCUAAGAUGCUUCCGCUACUCUACACACCUUUUGGAAAUUUAGUUGUUUAUAUUCCAUCAUAUGUUGUAAAUUGAGUUAUAAAUCUUCCGCACUCCGAUGUAAGUUAUUUUUGUAACAAAUGUUGUAAUGUUGUGGUAACUCCAUGUUGAUCCUGUAUGAGUUAAAAUGUGGAUGAUUCGGGGUCCUCCGAGGGCACCCGACAGACUAUCCAAGUUAUAUGACUCUCAUGUGCAGUAGUC